GGGGAUUUAGCUCAGUGGUAGAGCGCUUACCUAGAAAAAAAAAGGCCCUGGGUUCGGUCCCCAGCUCCG
rnacentral:tRNA from 1 species